AUGAACGCUAGCUACAGGCUUAACACAUGCAAGUCGAGGGGCAUCAGGAAGAAAGCUUGCUUUCUUUGCUGGCGACCGGCGCACGGGUGAGUAACACGUAUCCAACCUGCCCUUUACUCGGGGAUAGCCUUUCGAAAGAAAGAUUAAUACCCGAUGGCAUAAUGAUUCCGCAUGGUUUCAUUAUUAAAGGAUUCCGGUAAAGGAUGGGGAUGCGUUCCAUUAGGUUGUUGGUGAGGUAACGGCUCACCAAGCCUUCGAUGGAUAGGGGUUCUGAGAGGAAGGUCCCCCACAUUGGAACUGAGACACGGUCCAAACUCCUACGGGAGGCAGCAGUGAGGAAUAUUGGUCAAUGGGCGCUAGCCUGAACCAGCCAAGUAGCGUGAAGGAUGAAGGCUCUAUGGGUCGUAAACUUCUUUUAUAUAAGAAUAAAGUGCAGUAUGUAUACUGUUUUGUAUGUAUUAUAUGAAUAAGGAUCGGCUAACUCCGUGCCAGCAGCCGCGGUAAUACGGAGGAUCCGAGCGUUAUCCGGAUUUAUUGGGUUUAAAGGGAGCGUAGGUGGACUGGUAAGUCAGUUGUGAAAGUUUGCGGCUCAACCGUAAAAUUGCAGUUGAUACUGUCAGUCUUGAGUACAGUAGAGGUGGGCGGAAUUCGUGGUGUAGCGGUGAAAUGCUUAGAUAUCACGAAGAACUCCGAUUGCGAAGGCAGCUCACUGGACUGCAACUGACACUGAUGCUCGAAAGUGUGGGUAUCAAACAGGAUUAGAUACCCUGGUAGUCCACACAGUAAACGAUGAAUACUCGCUGUUUGCGAUAUACAGUAAGCGGCCAAGCGAAAGCAUUAAGUAUUCCACCUGGGGAGUACGCCGGCAACGGUGAAACUCAAAGGAAUUGACGGGGGCCCGCACAAGCGGAGGAACAUGUGGUUUAAUUCGAUGAUACGCGAGGAACCUUACCCGGGCUUAAAUUGCAGUGGAAUGAUGUGGAAACAUGUCAGUGAGCAAUCACCGCUGUGAAGGUGCUGCAUGGUUGUCGUCAGCUCGUGCCGUGAGGUGUCGGCUUAAGUGCCAUAACGAGCGCAACCCUUAUCUUCAGUUACUAACAGGUUAUGCUGAGGACUCUGGAGAGACUGCCGUCGUAAGAUGUGAGGAAGGUGGGGAUGACGUCAAAUCAGCACGGCCCUUACGUCCGGGGCUACACACGUGUUACAAUGGGGGGUACAGAAGGCAGCUAGCGGGUGACCGUAUGCUAAUCCCAAAAGCCUCUCUCAGUUCGGAUCGAAGUCUGCAACCCGACUUCGUGAAGCUGGAUUCGCUAGUAAUCGCGCAUCAGCCACGGCGCGGUGAAUACGUUCCCGGGCCUUGUACACACCGCCCGUCAAGCCAUGGGAGCCGGGGGUACCUGAAGUACGUAACCGCAAGGAUCGUCCUAGGGUAAAACUGGUGACUGGGGCU
rnacentral:rRNA from 1 species